GUGACGAAUGCCGGAAGAAACUACAGGCUGUUAACCUCCAGGUCGCGGGUUCGAAUCCCGCCGGGUCCACCAUCGUGGAUCCGUAGCUCAGCGGAUAGAGCAGGACGUUUCUCCAACUCUCGUCGUCACGGA
rnacentral:Y_RNA from 1 species